rnacentral:rRNA from 1 species
CCAAUAGCGUAUAUUAAAGUUGUUGCAGUUAAAAAGCUCGUAGUUGGAUUUCGGGGCAGCCUGGCUGGUCCGCCGCAAGGCGAGUACUGGUCAGCCGCCCUUCCUCUCGAAAGCCCCGACUGCUCUUUAUUGCAGUGGUCGGGUAGUUCGGGACGUUUACUUUGAAAAAAUUAGAGUGUUCAAGGCAGGCCUACGCCUGAAUACAUUAGCAUGGAAUAAUGGAAGAGGACCUCGGUCCUAUUUUGUUGGUUUCCAGGACCGAAGUAAUGAUUAAGAGGGACAGUUGGGGGCAUUCGUAUUUAAUUGUCAGAGGUGAAAUUCUCGGAUUUAUGAAAGACGAACAACUGCGAAAGCAUUUGCCAAGGAUGUUUUCAUUAA